rnacentral:misc_RNA from 1 species
UUUCCGUAGGUGAACCUGCGGAAGGAUCAUUAUUGAAUAAACUUGGUUGGGUUGCUGCUGGCUCUUUCAAGAGCAAAGUGCACGCUCAUUACCAUUUUUACAACCUCAUGUGCACCUUUUGUAGACCUGAAAUAACUGAGAAUUGCGCUACAGCUCUUCUUAAAUUUCAAGUUUAUGUACACCAUAAUACUCCUAAUGAAUGUAAUGGAAUAAUUUGACAGUGUGUCUUUAAACACAUAUAUACAACUUUCAACAAUGGAUCUCUUGGCUCUCGCAUAGAUGAAGAACGCAGC